CUACGGGACGCAGCAGUAAGGAAUAUUGCGCAAUGGAGGCAACUCUGACGCAGCCAUGCCGCGUGCAGGACUGAAGGCCUUAUGGGUCGUAAACUGCUUUUAUUUAGGAAUAAACUCUUGUACGUGUACGAGACUGAAGGUACUAAAUGAAUAAGCACCGGCUAACUCCGUGCCAGCAGCCGCGGUAAUACGGAGGGUGCAAGCGUUAUCCGGAUUUAUUGGGUUUAAAGGGUGCGCAGGCGGACUAUUAAGUCAGAGGUGAAAUCCCGGAGCUCAACUUCGGAACUGCCUUUGAUACUGGUAGUCUUGAAUAUGGUAGAAGUAGGCGGAAUGUAGCAUGUAGCGGUGAAAUGCAUAGAGAUGCUACAGAACACCGAUCGCGAAGGCAGCUUACUAAGCCGAUAUUGACGCUCAGGCACGAAGGCGUGGGGAGCGAACAGGAUUAGAUACCCUCGUAGUC
rnacentral:rRNA from 1 species